GCGUUAAGUUGCAGGGUAUAGACCCGAAACCCGGUGAUCUAGCCAUGGGCAGGUUGAAGGUUGGGUAACACUAACUGGAGGACCGAACCGACUAAUGUUGAAAAAUUAGCGGAUGACCUGUGGCUGGGGGUGAAAGGCCAAUCAAACCGGGAGAUAGCUGGUUCUCCCCGAAAGCUAUUUAGGUAGCGCCUCGUGAAUUCAUCUCCGGGGGUAGAGCACUGUUUCGGCUAGGGGGCCAUCCCGGCUUACCAACCCGAUGCAAACUGCGAAUACCGGAGAAUGUUAUCACGGGAGACACACGGCGGGUGCUAACGUCCGUCGUGAAGAGGGAAACAACCCAGACCGCCAGCUAAGGUCCCAAAGUCAUGGUUAAGUGGGAAACGAUGUGGGAAGGCCCAGACAGCCAGGAUGUUGGCUUAGAAGCAGCCAUCAUUUAAAGAAAGCGUAAUAGCUCACUGGUCGAGUCGGCCUGCGCGGAAGAUGUAACGGGGCUAAACCAUGCACCGAAGCUGCGGCAGCGAACGUAUCACUUAAAGCGAUUCAGCGGGUUACGAUUGACGGAGCGAAGCGACGUCAAAGCGUAUACAAAGUCGAGUCGGUUUAAGGAUACGUUCGUUGGGUAGGGGAGCGUUCUGUAAGCCUGUGAAGGUGUGUCGUGAGGCAUGCUGGAGGUAUCAGAAGUGCGAAUGCUGACAUAAGUAACGAUAAAGCGGGUGAAAAGCCCGCUCGCCGGAAGACCAAGGGUUCCUGUCCAACGUUAAUCGGGGCAGGGUGAGUCGACCCCUAAGGCGAGGCCGAAAGGCGUAGUCGAUGGGAAACGGGUUAAUAUUCCCGUACUUGGUGUUACUGCGAAGGGGGGACGGAGAAGGCUAUGUUGGCCGGGCGACGGUUGUCCCGGUUUAAGCGUGUAGGUGUGUGUUCCAGGUAAAUCCGGUUCACUUUAACACUGAGGCGUGACGACGAGGCACUACGGUGCUGAAGCAACAAAUGCCCUGCUUCCAGGAAAAGCCUCUAAGCAUCAGGUAACAUCAAAUCGUACCCCAAACCGACACAGGUGGUCAGGUAGAGAAUACCAAGGCGCUUGAGAGAACUCGGGUGAAGGAACUAGGCAAAAUGGUGCCGUAACUUCGGGAGAAGGCACGCUGACACGUAGGUGAAGUGAUUUACUCACGGAGCUGAAGUCAGUCGAAGAUACCAGCUGGCUGCAACUGUUUAUUAAAAACACAGCACUGUGCAAACACGAAAGUGGACGUAUACGGUGUGACGCCUGCCCGGUGCCGGAAGGUUAAUUGAUGGGGUCAGCGCAAGCGAAGCUCCUGAUCGAAGCCCCGGUAAACGGCGGCCGUAACUAUAACGGUCCUAAGGUAGCGAAAUUCCUUGUCGGGUAAGUUCCGACCUGCACGAAUGGCGUAAUGAUGGCCAGGCUGUCUCCACCCGAGACUCAGUGAAAUUGAACUCGCUGUGAAGAUGCAGUGUACCCGCGGCAAGACGGAAAGACCCCGUGAACCUUUACUAUAGCUUGACACUGAACAUUGAGCCUUGAUGUGUAGGAUAGGUGGGAGGCUUUGAAGUGUGGACGCCAGUCUGCAUGGAGCCGACCUUGAAAUACCACCCUUUAAUGUUUGAUGUUCUAACGUGGACCCGUAAUCCGGGUUGCGGACAGUGUCUGGUGGGUAGUUUGACUGGGGCGGUCUCCUCCUAAAGAGUAACGGAGGAGCACGAAGGUUGGCUAAUCCUGGUCGGACAUCAGGAGGUUAGUGCAAUGGCAUAAGCCAGCUUGACUGCGAGCGUGACGGCGCGAGCAGGUGCGAAAGCAGGUCAUAGUGAUCCGGUGGUUCUGAAUGGAAGGGCCAUCGCUCAACGGAUAAAAGGUACUCCGGGGAUAACAGGCUGAUACCGCCCAAGAGUUCAUAUCGACGGCGGUGUUUGGCACCUCGAUGUCGGCUCAUCACAUCCUGGGGCUGAAGUAGGUCCCAAGGGUAUGGCUGUUCGCCAUUUAAAGUGGUACGCGAGCUGGGUUUAGAACGUCGUGAGACAGUUCGGUCCCUAUCUGCCGUGGGCGCUGGAGAACUGAGGGGGGCUGCUCCUAGUACGAGAGGACCGGAGUGGACGCAUCACUGGUGUUCGGGUUGUCAUGCCAAUGGCACUGCCCGGUAGCUAAAUGCGGAAGAGAUAAGUGCUGAAAGCAUCUAAGCACGAAACUUGCCCCGA
rnacentral:rRNA from 1 species